AGCUCGGCAUGGCUCAGAACACAAAUAAUGGUGCUUCGGUGAGUGUACUUUUUAUUUACCUUUUUGUUCGUAAAAGUCAGUAAUAUUUACCGGACACGUUGCACAUUAACAUAAUUUAUUGAACAAUGUCUACGGGGAACUUUUAGUGAUAUGGCGUUCGUUAAACAUGUGUUAGCUAUUCGUCAGGGUUAUGUUAGCUAGCUAGCGUUAUCUUAGCUAUUAGCUAACUUUAUAUUAGCAUGGUUUAUGAUGUGGCUGCAAGAAAUAUCUGACUGACAGUUUGUUUAACAGCUGCCUAUUAAGUUACUAGCUGUUUCACUUUACCCAAAACAUUAAAAGAAGGCGCAAAUUAUUGCAUUAUAGUGUUAACUGGCAACAGCUUGGGUCGUGGUUGCUCGUAAGUUAGUAGCCCCAUUCACACUGCCGUUUGCAAAAUUACGUUUUCGCGCUAAAUUACAUAAUCGCCAUCAUUAAACUGGACGCUGUCUGACUCCCUCACUCGCGGGACAGAGGCUGUUUUCCGGGGGAAAGUCCUGAUGUCCACUACAGAGGACAUUCAUAAAUUAUCAUUUUUCAUAUGAAAAUAAAUAAGCUCAACUCUGAAAACUCACUCAGAUAUUCAUGAGAUGUUAACUCACUUGAAACUAUAAAAAAAAUAACAUGUUUAAUUUAAGAAUAUCAUGCUUAUCUUUAUUUUUUCCAUAUAAUGUGCUCACACAGUGAUUUAGUUUUUCUCCUAGGAACUGCUUAAUCAACUUUUAGAAAGACUUCGCUCUCGGUUGGAGCAUAUUCUGGGACGCAUGCCUCUGGAUCUGGACUUUUUAGAGUUCACUUGCACACAAGAACUUGUGUUUUUAAAUGCUGUAUCCAGUUAUUUUAGAUUCACUGACACAGCUACACAGUCUUAUCAAUUUGGAAAAAGACAAAAGGGAGCAACACAUUGUAGUUGUGCAGUUUGAGCAAGGACCAGCUGGGCGACGACGAAUGGUCAUAUCCCCAGGGUGCCUUAGCAAACUUCUGGAACUUAAUCUGUCUGUUCCAUGUAUAGCUAAACUUUUGGGGAUGUCUAGGCGCACAUCAUGGCUGAGUCUGAUCUCUCAGUUAAGGUAUUAUACAGCACUAUGACAGAUGAAGCGUUAGAUCAGUGUGUGAGAGAGUUUAAGUCGAGGCAGCCUCACUCUGGAUAUUGAAUGAUGAAGGCCCUUCUGCAAGCCAGAGGACUGAGGGUGCAGCAUAACCAUGUCAGAGCCUCCAUGCACUGUGUUGACACCACUGGUGUCACAAGCCGGGUGGUUCACGUAGGAUGUAUUGACGGACCGACUCGGUUCCAGGACCCCAGUCUUUGAUGCACAGAUACAAACCAUAAAUUGAUUUGGUAAAUUCUUAAGCAAUCUUUUUGACAAAAUGCAUACAUUCAGUGUGUUUGUAAAGUAUGUGGUAUUUUUUAUACUGCUUCUUGUUACUGUAUAUGCACCAUCACAGCCAACCUCUUAAAAUGGUAUACACCUAGUCUAUUACAUUUAGAAACUGUCUGUAGAACACUUUUUUUCUUACUUGCAGUAUGUUAUAUACAGCUGACUAAUUAUUUUUUUCUCUUUCAGCUACAACAUUGUUGUCUUUGGUGGUAUUGACGGUAUUUUCUGUAAGAUAAUGUAUCUUGGUGCAGCCUCCAACAAUCUUGCAUCAACCACCCUGGCUUUCUUCCUAGAAUCUGUUGAGAAGUUUGGUUUUCCUCUCAGGGUUCGUGCUGAUCGGGGAGUGGAAAAUGUCGACGUUGCACGCUUCAUGUUUACAGUCUGUGGCACUGGAAAGAGCAGCUUCAUAUCCGGGAAGUGUUCACAACCAAAGAUUAAAAUCUUCCAGGAUUGAGCGGCUGUGGAGAGACCUGUGGGUAGCUGUAACAUGCAUCUACUAUGAUGUUCUCCACUCCUUGGAAGAAGAGGGCUUCUGCUGUCACUUCGUGUUUCUCCCACACCUGCAGGAUGACCUAGAUACUUUUCGCAAUGGUUGGGACAAUCAUCCGCUGAGAACAGAAAGCCCCUAACCAGCUGUGGGAGCUGGGUCGUACACAUUACACAAUUCCAGGACCUAGAAGCCAAGAGCACAUUCUGUAGUAUUUGAAAGUGUGCCUACUUUUACUGCAUACAACUCAAAAUGCUCCAUUUGUAGGGCAUGGAUAUUCUUUACAUUGAGUGGGAAAACCGCAGACUUCCAUUUGAUGACUAGUCGAGCAUCAUUGUUCCAGACACAGCAUGCCCCCUGACUAAUGACAGCUUUAAGAGAUGCAGUUAACCCAAGAGCUGCAGUUAACCCAUGAACUGCAUCCCAGUCCUUUGGCUGCGAUACUUACAUUGCUGCUGUUCAAUUUUGUGAGCAGUUUCUUGGUCUGUGAAAUAACUGAUCAGAUUGACUGAGUUUAGAGAGACAAUGAAUAAUGUUUUGCAUAAUCUGAACUGUAUUAUUGUUAUUGCUUUGGCAAGAGAGAAAAAAAGAGGAAGGUGCAGCAUAGUAAUAUUACAAAAAUUAAACCAGUCCAGUUAAUUUCACUUUAAACACCUUUGAUUUACUUAAUGUAACACAAGGAACGUUACAAAAAGAGCUUUCACCCCCUUAUAGUUCACUUAACUCCUGCUUCAAUGUUAUCAAUGCAGAGAUGGUUU